rnacentral:lncRNA from 1 species
ACUCUCGCUCCAUGUGUCAAACAGAUUGAGGAUAGAAUCAGUAAUUACUUCUGAAAGUAAUUUAUCAUCUUGUCCAGGUUCCAGCUUCAACAUCAGGUAUCUAUUGACUGAUAUUAACUUCUCUAGCAUGUGCCUUCUAUCAAUGUUAUAUGCUACCAUUGUGCCUUGGAUUUUAGCAAUCAUCUUGAGCACCACCUGAUAGACUGUAGCAAAUGCAUCUCGGAAUGCUUUGGUUGUUGCUUCAGACAGUUCCCUGUCGUUCCAGCCACUCUUUUCAUUCCCUAACUCACGUGCUAUGGUUGGCGCGAAUGUUACAGUCUUCGGCUUGGUUGUGUUGACACGGAGCUGCUUUGAUUCCAUCAGCAUCUCAUUGGCUUCCUUCAUUUCUGACUCAAAUCUGCUGCUGACCUUGAAGUAUGGUUGCUCCUUGUGUGCAGUGGGGCUCGGAACCGGUGAAUUCUGUCUUGGUGAUGCUUCCAUGAACACCUCAGACGCCCUCUCUGAACCACCCGCUGCGAUGCACGCAAGAAAGCAUUUAUCAUGCAUGCUCCAUCGCAGUGAAGUCAUACUAUAGUUGAUGUUUGGACUGAAUUCAACUAAAGAAACACAGAUAGGUAUUCAUUUCAAUAAAUUCAAUUAACAACUUUUUUGGUGACAUGUGAGUUUGUGACUGACAUACAGGAAGAAGGUUGAUGGUGCGCUUUCUUGGGGGUUCCACGGUAC